UUACAAAUUUAUUUUAAGAUGAUUGAGGCAAAGUUUUGUUGCCAGGGUACUGAUCCCUCAUUAUGAAAGAUGGACCUAACUACACUCCCAUGCAAUCCCUGACAUCUCCUUUUGAAAUUGAUGUUGCAGAUCGAUCGCAGUCGGUAUCUUCCAAUACUACUUCAGCACCGAGCUUAGUAAGGUCUUCCAAUAGCAUAAAAAAGCGGCGCAUUAAGGAGAGAGCUGACGAAGUUUUGGAAAAAGUAAAUGCAAAACUCGAUAUGCAUGAGCACGAAGACAGGUUUAACGAGCUGCACUGGGACACAUUUCAAGACAUACCAAAAUGUCGCUAACAGAAAAAAUGUCGGGAAAUAGGUUAGCACAAGAGUUUGCUACAAACCCUAUUAACGUAAACUACCAUAAUCAGUGACAUGAUAGUUCAAGCUCCCAUCAAACUGAUUUGGAUUACGGAGAAAACUACCAAGCUACAUCUCAGAUACUACUAUCCUCCAAUGAUGCAAGAUCCUUUUGGAAAAUUUUUUACCUAAGUAUUAAUAAUUAGUUAUA